UACGAAGGGGGCUAGCGUUGUUCGGAAUUACUGGGCGUAAGGCGUGCGCAGGCGGCUUCCCAAGUCAGUGGUGAAAGCCCGGAGCUCAACUCCGGAACUGCCAUUGAAACUGUGAAGCUCGAGGACGAGAGAGGUGAGUGGAAUUCCCAGUGUAGAGGUGAAAUUCGUAGAUAUUGGGAAGAACACCGGUGGCGAAGGCGGCUCGCUGGCUCGUUUCUGACGCUCAUGCACGACAGCGUGGGGAUCAAACAGG
rnacentral:rRNA from 1 species